rnacentral:rRNA from 1 species
CCUACGGGGGGCUGCAGUGGGGAAUAUUGGACAAUGGGGGGAACCCUGAUCCAGCCAUGCCGCGUGUGUGAAGAAGGCCCUCGGGUUGUAAAGCACUUUCAGUGAGGAAGAACGCCUGGUGGUUAAUACCCAUCAGGAAAGACAUCACUCACAGAAGAAGCACCGGCUAACUCCGUGCCAGCAGCCGCGGUAAUACGGAGGGUGCGAGCGUUAAUCGGAAUUACUGGGCGUAAAGCGCGCGUAGGUGGCUUGAUAAGCCGGUUGUGAAAGCCCCGGGCUCAACCUGGGAACGGCAUCCGGAACUGUCAAGCUAGAGUGCAGGAGAGGAAGGUAGAAUUCCCGGUGUAGCGGUGAAAUGCGUAGAGAUCGGGAGGAAUACCAGUGGCGAAGGCGGCCUUCUGGAGUGACACUGACACUGAGGUGCGAAAGCGUGGGUAGCAAACAGGAUUAGAUACCCUUGUAGUC